UACAUAGGGUGCAAGCGUUGUCCGGAAUUAUUGGGCGUAAAGAGCUCGUAGGCGGCUGGAUAAGUCAAGCGUGUAAGCCCACGGCUCAACCGUGGAAUUGCGUUUGAAACUAUUUAGCUUGAGUACAGGAGAGGAAGGCGGAAUUCCCAGUGUAGCGGUGAAAUGCAUUGAUAUUGGGAAGAACACCGGUGGCGAAGGCGGCCUUCUGGUCUGUUACUGACGCUGAGAUACGAAAGCCAGGGGAGCAAAUGGG
rnacentral:rRNA from 1 species